UUCGAGUUCCAAUUUUUCGAUGUGUCUAGC
rnacentral:piRNA from 1 species